AGCGAACGCUGGCGGCAGGCCUAAUACAUGCAAGUCGAACGGUCUCUUCGGAGGCAGUGGCGGACGGGUGAGUAACGCGUGGGAACGUGCCCUUUGGUACGGAACAACUGAGGGAAACUUCAGCUAAUACCGUAUGUGCCCUUCGGGGAAAGAUUUAUCGCCAUUGGAGCGGCCCGCGUUGGAUUAGCUAGUUGGUGGGGUAAUGGCCCACCAAGGCGACGAUCCAUAGCUGGUCUGAGAGGAUGAUCAGCCACACUGGGACUGAGACACGGCCCAGACUCCUACGGGAGGCAGCAGUAGGGAAUCUUGCGCAAUGGGCGAAAGCCUGACGCAGCCAUGCCGCGCGAAUGAUGAAGGUCUUAGGAUUGUAAAAUUCUUUCACCGGGGACGAUAAUGACGGUACCCGGAGAAGAAGCCCCGGCUAACUUCGUGCCAGCAGCCGCGGUAAU
rnacentral:rRNA from 1 species